UGAUGGUAGUUUAGAUAUUGAGUUGUAAUGUGAAGACAAACUCGCUACUCGUGGUCUCGAGAGUUGUAUUGUUCUAACUUUGUUCGGUAUUUUGAAAUCGGAGACUAAUAUGAUGAAUUGUAUUCGGAGACUAAUCUUCUAUUGUAUUCGAUAAAUCUGAUGUUUAUAUGUUGUGUUGUUUAUAUUCUGUGCUGUAAUUUAUUUUGUAACCUGUGCAAAUAUCAGAA
rnacentral:lncRNA from 1 species